GACGAACGCUGGCGGCGUGCCUAAUACAUGCAAGUUGAGCGCUGAAGGUUGGUACUUGUACCAACUGGAUGAGCAGCGAACGGGUGAGUAACGCGUGGGGAAUCUGCCUUUGAGCGGGGGACAACAUUUGGAAACGAAUGCUAAUACCGCAUAAAAACUUUAAACACAAGUUUUAAGUUUGAAAGAUGCAAUUGCAUCACUCAAAGAUGAUCCCGCGUUGUAUCAGCUAGUUGGUGAGGUAAAGGCUCACCAAGGCGAUGAUACAUAGCCGACCUGAGAGGGUGAUCGGCCACAUUGGGACUGAGACACGGCCCAAACUCCUACGGGAGGCAGCAGUAGGGAAUCUUCGGCAAUGGACGAAAGUCUGACCGAGCAACGCCGCGUGAGUGAAGAAGGUUGUCGGAUCGUAAAACUCUGUUGGUAGAGAAGAACGUUGGUGAGAGUGGAAAGCUCAUCAAGUGACGGUAACUACCCAGAAAGGGACGGCUAACUACGUG
rnacentral:rRNA from 1 species